UUGAACGCUGGCGGCAGGCCUAACACAUGCAAGUUCGAGCGGUAACAGGAGAAAGCUUGCUUUCUUGCUGACGAGCGGCGGACGGGUGAGUAAUGUAUGGGGAUCUGCCCGAUAGAGGGGGAUAACUACUGGAAACGGUGGCUAAUACCGCAUAAUGUCUACGGACCAAAGCAGGGGCUCUUCGGACCUUGCACUAUCGGAUGAACCCAUAUGGGAUUAGCUAGUAGGUGGGGUAAAGGCUCACCUAGGCGACGAUCUCUAGCUGGUCUGAGAGGAUGAUCAGCCACACUGGGACUGAGACACGGCCCAGACUCCUACGGGAGGCAGCAGUGGGGAAUAUUGCACAAUGGGC
rnacentral:rRNA from 1 species